AUAACAGACAGCGAGAACAAGCACAGUUGGAGACAGUGAUCUCUAAAAGUAUUUUCCAAACAAGCCUUACACGGUCCCUGCAUUGCUCACGCAUGUCAUUUUGCUCCAAAAUGUGCUAUAUCAAUAACAUGUCUCGACACCAUCUCCUAUCUCAGGUUUCCUGAGAAAGGGAAGGCGCGGGGGUGAAAUGCAGAGACUCCGCUGGACUGAUUGAAAAAAAUGAAUGUCCUAGGUCUGACCUUGGGAUCCUCUGGUUUGGUGGCCACAGCAUUUGCAGACAUAUUGACUCAACAGGUAUCUUGACCUUGCUGCCUUCAUUCAAAAUGAUACAGAUCACCCUUAUCAAGGCACAGUCUUCCAGAGAACAUUGAAAGCCCAGCCAAAGAGCAAGCACUUGGCAAAAUUACAGAAGUUGUGCUCAAAACUGUGGACCUUGCUAUAGUCCAAAUCUCAAAACAACUGGACAACUGGAUCCUGGCAAAGAUUGAGUAUCUGGUGGAAAGUGCCAGAAUUCAACCUAACAAAUGAAAAGUGAGUGGUAAAGCAUAGGCGAGUCAUAGAUAAUUAUACUACAGUCAGGUUACUAACGAAGAUUGUGGUU